GCCCCAUAUUGUAUAGCUCAGUUGAUUAGAGUGUGUUGCUGAUAAUGCCAAGGUUGCAGGUUCAAUCCCCGUAUGGGACA
rnacentral:tRNA from 1 species